CGUGUGGCAAAUCUGAUCGCUAAGUAUCAAAAAAGAAUCACAAGAAAUCCAUAAAAAACUAAUUUUUGAUUACAAAUAAUCGAAUGUUAUAACGAAUAAUUUAAAAUAGGUCUUUACAUCUCGUCUGUAUUGAUUUUAACACUCUGGCAGGGAAAAAUAUAAUGUAGGGCAGAUGCGCCAUAGUAAUGAAAAAAUUGAAAUUGCAGUAGCGCAAAAAAGUAAAAUUUAUUAUACAUGUACCGCAAUGAAUUACAAUUCGUUUUUUCCGUAUUAUGCUCAAAUACACUGAUCAUUCAAAUGCAAUGAAAUCUAAAAUGUGCCGCGGUUAUCGACCAAAAUCGUUUUUAUCGAAUUAAACACAAACACGUAUUCGAUAACAACUCAUUGCGGAACAAUUCGAUUUGCUUAAUUUACUUCACCACGAUGGCCUGUGCGAAACAAUUCAAAAACCGUUGUCGGUAUAAAACGCUGUUUAAACUAUCUAAAAGACUCAUAAUGUUAUAUAACUAUAGUUGAUACAAUAAAAUAUCUAAUCAUGUA